GUUAGCCCUGAGCUAACAUCUGCCACCAAUCCUCCUCUUUUUGCUGAGGAAGACUGGCCCUGAGCUAACGUCUGUGCCCAUGUUCCUCUACUUUAUAUGUGGUACGCCUGCCAGUGGAGGGCUUGCCAAGCGGUGCCAUUUUCGCACCCAGGAUCCGCACCAGUGAGCCCCUGGCCGAAGCAGAACAUGCAAACUUAACCACUGCACCACGGGGCUGGCCCUCUGAAUACUUAAGAAAAAAAAUUUCCCUAGAUUAGAGUGGUUUGGGGCCUUAGAUCUUACUAUUAAAAUAUCCAUUCACCCAAGAGUAGUUAUUUAAGUACUUAUUAAUAGGGGACUUCUUUAAAUACCCUGGAAACAGAGUUUCCAAGAAUGCUCUAUGAAUGUAAGAGGAAAUCGUUUACCUUCUAGGGACAUAGGAUGUCCCAAAUGUUGCUUGAGAUCUGUGGUUUUCAAGCCUUAGUAUCAGAAUCAUCUGGAGGACUUGUUAAACGACAGACUGGUGCCACAUCUGACCAAACUUGAGCACUUCUAACAAGUUCUCAGGCGAUGCCGCUCCCGCUGCUCCCAGGCCCACACUAAGAAUCGUGCUAGUGGAGGAUGACAUCCACCAGCCGUCUCCACCAGCCUUCCUUCUGUCCCUAAUCGCUGACCCUCAGUGCUGUCUCAUCGCAUCAGAGGCUCUUUUUCUACUUCAGCCCGUUUUUUCUAGUUUUCCACCAGAUUCUUCAUCUUCGCAGAAUUACCAAUGUAGACAAAUCCACCCAGUCUUACUUUGGGGAAGUGCUGGUACUUGUCUUCCACCUACGAAGUUUGCAGAGGAUACCGUAUCACACUGAAACCAUUCACCUAAAAUGACUUAGCAACCAGCCUGUCACCAACUUGUAAUUCCUGCGUAUGGACAUUAGUUGAAAUAAUGUCUAUUUUGUGUAAAUUUUUAGAGUUUUGUUUUUCUGUAAUGUUUUAAAAAAAAUCAAUCUGAAUAUGGUAAUAAU
rnacentral:lncRNA from 1 species